UGAGUGACGAAAUGUUUCUCCCACUGAAAACGCUACGUCCAGAUGAACAGAAUCAACUUUUGAGGAUUUACUUAUUGGAUGAUUGAGCACCAAGACGUCCCCAGACUCUGGUUCUUCUACUGACGGUAUAUCAGACAUGUGCAACUGUAGUAGAAAUGAACUUUAAGCUUUAAACUCUCUGCUCUGUGUUGUUUCCUCUUUCAGACCAGAAAAUCAUCACACCUAAGUCUGGACAAGACGUCACUCUGACAUGUCGAGCUUCAAACAACAACAUCAUAUUUGUAGAGUGGAGCAGAGCUGACCUGGGAGAUAUAAAAAUGUGCUUGUUUAUCAGGAUGGCCUCUUGAUAACCAUCAUCCAUCUUUUGACAACCGGGUGGAUCUGCAGGACAGUCAGAUGAAGGAUGGUCACACAAGAGGACACGCAGAGGAUGGAGUCAAUUAAAGAUAGCAAAUCCAGGACUGUUAGGAAGUCUGUCAGUGUUCGGUUUUGGCUGUUGUUGGUGUUUUAAUGUUUUUGUGUCUUAGUAAACGUACAUGAAUUAAUACUGAAUAUUUUCUUGUUUCAUCUUUUAUUCUUUUUUCCCCCCUUUUAAAAAACGGGAAAAUAAGGAGAUGUUUUCUGCCAUGUUGAAGCAGUGAAUGUGUUCAUGCUUGGAUCUGAGGUGUGAUCAAUGAAAAACCCACUACUGAUGGGACUUCAAUGGCUUAGGUUUAACCGGAGCGUCUAGAUGACACGAUGGAAUCAGACUCAGAUCCUGAUGUUGAACUGGUGGAUUUGUUGAGUGAUGACCUCCAGCAUUCUGUGGGCUUACACUCAGACUGAGUCUUCAAGGCUUGAAGCAUCACUGAUGAUCUGCUUGUGUCCAUUUUCAGCCGUGAUUUGGGGACUGAGAGCAACAGCUGCUCAGCUGACCGGAGCGAACGAGUGGGGACAUAGGGCUUCAGCAAAUCAGACAGAUAUGCAGCUCAUAUCUGCCUCUCUCACUGAGGGGGACGUAACUACAUGGACAUGGAUUUGUACAUCAGCCAAACUACAGAUCACUGAGAACAGACUGAAGACUUGACGAAUGAGAACAAGAUACUGCAAAGUUAUUUUUUUCUUUAUACUAAGUACAACUGUAGGUCCCCACCACUCUGAACCAAUAGAAAGCUGGUGCUCAGAGGAAGAGGGCGGGCUUUACUUGGUGUCAGUGACAGAAAUGAAAAAAGCUCAAAUGAG